UUACUGCCGUGGCCACUUAUCUGAUUUUCUUGCUCUGAGGGACUUUCGCAGAGGACAACCAGAAAACUGCUACAUUUUUUGGAAAACGAGAGAUGAAAGGAAGAGACGGGAGGGCUUGUUGCAUCGUUAAAUGACUCCCAUAUUCUUUUUUUCAUCUCCGACUCCUGGAAACGAGUCAGUCUUCGUCUGCUGACUGAGGAAGUAACCAUGGUGACAAAUGUUACAGAUGCAGCACUGGGCGGGUCUAUAGGCCGCCGAGCCCCCAGAACGCUCCUAGUUUUUCCAGACCCUCAUCGUUUCAGCUGACGUGGCCACACCUAAGUGACAGAAAGCAAAAAAAGGAAGACAAAGAAAAGGGCAGGGGAGCUGUCGGAUACCCGAGGGCCAAGCUUUAAACACCUUCUGCGCUGCCUGUAUUUGUGCACAUUGUUAGCCAUUAAAAAAAAAAACAUUUGCACCUUUUUGCAUUCAACGGCGUCUAAA